GAAACUGUAAAAGUCCUUCCUUCAAGUGAAAAGGUGAAAGUUCGCCACUUAAUACGGAAAGAAAAAAAUCGUAUGCUGAGGUUGUUAAGAUCUGCGAUGCGGUCUACGGACUGAAUGUGUCUCCCCGGAAUCUAGCAACCAAUGAGACGGUGUCAGGUGGCGGGGCCUUUGGGAGAUUUCUGAACGAAAAUUAUGCUUCUUCUCGUCCCAGUGAAGCUCUGGAAGGCCACCAUGCUCACUCACGGAGGCCACUCAUUCUCAUUCUUCUCCUGUAAUAGCACUGGCUUUGCAGUUUUCAAAGACUUUUCCCAGGCAUGAUCUCCCUUGAGUUUCACUAUUUCAAGAGGCAGCAGAAUGAGUAGAAUUAUCUUUGUUUCAGUGACUAAG
rnacentral:lncRNA from 1 species